UGGAACAAUGUAGGCAAGGGAAGUCGGCAAAAUAGAUUUGUAACCUCGGAAAAAGUUCUGGCUUUGAGGGCUGGGCACGAGGGUCCCAGUCAUGAACCCGUAGGCUAUCGGUGGACUACUCAAGCUGCUCCUGCGGGCCAUCGAGUGUCUGCCAGGGGACAGACUAGGAGCAUUCCUUUAGGGACUUUCCCCAGGCGUCGAGCAGCCGCCUCAAAACUGGUACGGAUAAUGCUAACGCAAUGUGAUUUUUGCCUAGCGCUCUGAAUGUCAAAGUGAAGAAAUUCAAACAAGUGAGGAUAAACGACAGAAAUAACUAUGACUCUCUUAAGGUAGCCAAAUGUCUCGUCAUCUAAUUAGUGACACUUAUGAAUGGAUUAACGAGAUUCCCGCUGUCCUUGUCUACUAUCCA
rnacentral:rRNA from 1 species